AACAUGAAGUUGAUCAACUGGAGAGAAGUGACAUUACGAACGAACAUGGGCUGCCAACCUGUAUAGAGAACACUUCCUACUUGUCUGAUGGAACCCAAAGCAGCAAGAAAAGCAAGCCUUUGAUUGUUCGCAUUAAAUUGUUUAAGCACAGUGAACCAGAUGCCUCACUUGCCUGCUCUCCUUCGGGAAGGGUAGAUUUGCUUCCUCCAGAGAGAACGGAAGUUGUUCUUGCACCCAGUCAACCCAGUGCAGAGACAAAUGUACAACUCGGGCGGGUCUCUUCAAAACCUGACCAAGAUUUACCCUGUUCAACAUCAGAGGGGAUGGAAACGAUUGGUCAGAAGAGAAGUGCGAGUGCUGCAUUUGAAAAUCAGAUUCAGAGUGAAGAUUCACUGCAUGCAACUCUGAUUGAGAAUUGGAUCCCUCCCCCGAUUCAAUUUGCCGAUGUUGGUGAUGGUGAUGAAGAAUGGCUCUUUGGGACCAAGCAUCAAAACAGAUGUGGGUCGAAAAGAUUUAAAGCUUCUAACAAUGAGGUCUCUAGUUUUACAAGGAGCACGCAGUGGCCACAAGCACAGUGGUUGUUGGAGGCUGGCGUAUAUGCAUUAUCCUUCACGGUUCCAUUAUAGUUUCUCGUCCAUUUCUUGUUGGACCACUAGCGGCUUAUACUGUACAGUUGUAAUGAGCAUCAACCAUACUUUUAUGCAUUUGUUCAUUAAUUGAUUUUUCCGAUUAUUCUUGCAAAUGCCAUUGGUCUUGUUUUGGUCUUGUCAGAUUCUAUGUGGCAAUUUGCUUUUAGUUAAAACGUACUGGUCAUUGUCGAACCAUCUAGCGUUUGGGAAAAAAAUGUUGAACCAAUUCAGCAUCGUAGCUUUGUUCUGCAGGCAAAGCUGAUAAAAUGCACACCCGCAGUUCUGUGUUGGGUUCAUUAUUAUAUACAAAAGAAUCGUGUUCCUUGCUUGGGAAGAACAAUGGCCUCAAAAUAUCAGCAGAGUUAGCAUGUUGCUUUGUCAGGAAAGCAAAAAAAUUUCGCUCAAAGAAUAAUGGUCACGUAUAGUUAAGUAGUCCUUCAACUUAUAGCGGCGGAUUUUCUCAACACUUGAUGCUGUAUCAGUGGAACUUGAUGAUCUGCUACCAUCGUUUGUAUCAGACAUGGCAGAAACCGAAUGCGACUUGCAAUCAAUCUCCAGGAAAAGGUCAUCAUCGUCAUCUUCCCUCGAUUCCAUAGCAUGAGAAUCAAAAUAUUUAUCGGCAUCGGUCUCCCCUGUUAGUAGCUGCAGUAUCUGGCUCACUUUUGGGCGAAGACGAGGUGAUUGGUUUAUGCAGAGGCCUGCUGCCAAUACCAUUCUACGCAUUUGGAUAUCAUUGUAGUCCCCAUUUAAGUUUGGAUCCAGCAAUGCUUUGAGAUCCAUACUGUCCAAUAAAUGUCUUGCCUGAAUCAAAGAAAAGUGGUCAAAAUCAGAAUUUGGUAAACAAUUUUAAGGUUAAGUAUAUGAUGUAAAGAGAGAAUGCUUACCCACUUAACCAAGCUCUCUUGCCCUUUUGGGGCCUCUGCAUCAACUGGCUUUCUUCCUGAUAAUAAUUCAAGGAGGACCACACCAAAGGCAUAAACAUCAAUCUUAUCACUCACCAUCCCAUGCAUGAAAUAUUCUGGAGCAAUGUAUCCAAAAGUCCCCACCACAUCACUACUUAUCACAUAAGCAGAAUCCGUCGAUCCCCACAUAGCAAGCCCAAAAUCAGAUAACUGCAACCAAAACAUAAAACUAGAUUCAACACUUACAAUUGGAAUAUGUGGCAGAUAUUUUCCCAUCGGCUGGGGUGCUGUAUGUGUAUAUGUAUAUGUAUAUACCUGUAUGUGUAUAUGUAUAUGUAUAUACCUGUGGCAGAAGCUCGUCGGAGAGAAGAAUGUUUGAGGAUUUAACGUCUCUGUGAAUAAUGGGCGGAGGACAUUCAUUGUGCAGGUAAUUUAGAGCCUCGGCAACUGCAACUGCCACAUUGAAUCUCACUUCCCAUGGCAGUACUAUAGAUCCAUCACUGCAACCUGCACUAAGAUGAAAUGAAAUUCAGGCAACUAAUUAUCAAACUAUUUAAUUUCUUUAUUUGUAGGAAAUUACCAUGCAAGUUUCCCUCCAAGCUCCCUCUAGGAAAGAGAUCAUAGACCAAAAUAAGGUUGCCCCCUUCCGCACAGACACCAAUGAGAGAUGUGAUGUGUUUAUGCUGAAUUGAAGAAACAAAUUUGGCUUCCAAGAAAAAGUCAUCCCAAGCUUCUUUGUAUGAUUUCAGAAUCUUGACUGCCACUGGUUUACCAUCUCCGAGACAUGCUCUGUAUACGCUGCUGCACCCUCCCUCGCCGAUAAGAUUUCCUGUGUUAUAGUAAGUAUAAGCCAAUUGUUUAGAAAGAGAACUAUGCCAAAGGCAGAUCACAUCAAUUAUGCAAACAAAAAAGAGAUUUAGUUGACCUGUUGAGAACUGACAAGUUGCACUCCUAAUUUCUUCAUAGCUGAACAACCUGCAACCUACUGAGUUUUUUUCAAUGAGAAACUCCAAUUCACUGGCUAGCUUUCUUGAUGAUACUGAUAAGCAAUUUUCAUCACCAUUCGUGGCAUCAUAACAGCGGCUCUCUCUUUCGGUUGUGUACUCUACAUCCCUCAAAAUCAAAUCAACCUGUGGCUGUUGAUUUACUGAAAAUGAUCGACUAGGCAAAUCCAUCACCCACUGAGCCACAGACUUUUUGUCUCUGGCUUUGAAUUCUCUGAUAGGACUCAUAGCUGCUUCUGAGAUGGCUCCUAUCCGCAAGAGAGGCCAACCAGGCCUUGAUAAUGGUGAUUCAUCAACGUCCCUCCCUUUCAAAUCACAAAGCUCUCUUUCAGGAGGAGGAGCUUCCUGACUCAUUGAAGGAACAGUUAGUCUCUGAAGAGGCCAACCCAGAGUUGAUUCUGGCGCUGGCAACUCUAUUUUGAGUGGACAAGUGGAGCUCAAAAGAGCUUCCUCCUUGACCUUGUAUUGGUUUAUGCCAAAGUUGUCAUCUUUCAAUGUCCUAGUGGUCUGAAUUGCUAGCGUUUCUGCAAGGUCGCAACAUAACCAUUCUCCGUGGUUCUCCUUGCCCGAUUUCUUCUGUGAUUUCUCCUUCUUGCUCAUCAUUCAAGUUUACCCUCGAUACUUUGAAAGCUUUGGUCCCCUGAAUUGGUAAGCUCCCUAGAAAUUUUCAUUUCACGGUCAUAUUCAUAUGUGUAUAUAUAUUAUACUGCUCAGAAGCCAGAACUAUAUAAUAAUAACAGAGCCACCGGGACUAAUCCAUAGUUUGCACGUUGUACUUGCUUGUGAAUGUAAAGCAUACCUAACAGAAAAGUUAACGUUUACCAGAUAUAUAGAAAACUAACAAUGACAAUAUUUUUCUGGAUUAAACAAAUGUUACCAAAACCCAAAGGAAAAUACUGGGUAAGUUCAUAAUUUAUUGGUUCUUAAAGAAGAGAGACACAAAAAGACAAACAAGAUAUAUUACCAAAGGCAGUAUGAAGUUGACCCGGAUCUUCUUAUUUUGAACCUUUUGACGGCUACUCUUUGUAUUCAAAAAAUCCAACCUAACCGUCUUUUAUUUAUAAUGCAGAACUGCCGCCAAAUAAACUGCUGGUACACCUAAUGUGACUAAUCUUUAGCAAGUCAGAGUUAUUGCCAUUUGACCACCCUACAGUGCUACCUGUCCACAUCACCACCAAAAGCAUAGAUUUUGAAUCAACUUAUCAAAAAAUUUAGACUUGUCAUCAUAGAUUACUACUUGGAUAUAUUAUAUAUAAUCAAGCCAUUUUGCCGCCGCUGUAGGAUUAGCAUCUUGUAAUACUGUUGCAAAUAUGCUAACACAUAAGGCUUUGGUUAGCAAGGGUGAGAGACUACAUGGAUGCCAAAGUUUUUGAAAAUGUGCAGAGACAGCCACCAACCUCAUGGGGAUCUAUUGUACAAUCCUUCAAGUAAGACAAAAGCUUGAAAGAAUCUGAGAAUGAUAAAAGCUUGCACAUAAACAUACAUGCCCUCAGUGUUCAUAAUCUGACUUGAUAAUGGAGAAGUUACAGAAGCUUCAGGCAACUUUUGUAAUUAGUUCACUCCUUCAAGGUAAACAAUUACGACUAGUUUUGAUUCACAACUUCAAAAAAUGAAUGCAAAUACAAGUGUUCUUGCUUACUAGUCUAUCCAUCUCCCACAACACAAGUAAAAAGGGUUUAAUAAGGGUUUAACAAGGGUUUAACAACACCAAGCUGAGAUGAGUGCCGAGUGGCAAGCUGGGCCUUGUUGCCCUAAUACGGGCCGGUCGAAGCCCAUAAUUUGAGGAGUCCCUGCGACGGACUUCGUUUCGUCACUAUAUCUAUAUGGAAUAUGGAUACAUCACACUAACUAGUGGGUCCCAUCCCAAUACUGCAUUCCCAAACGGUCAAGUUUUCAACCUUUUAUUUUGUUAUAAAAUUAAAUCAAAUAAAAGAAAUAAAAAAGAAAGAGAAUUCAACCAACGUUCCUCUGGAAAACGCGAGAUUAUAGAAUAGUACUGUACCUACUUCCUUUCAGCGAGCGGAGAGAGAUUGAGAGAGAUUAUGAUAUUGGACGGAAUCGGAGACGAAGAGAAAUGGCUGGCAGAAGGAAUCGCCGGCAUUCAACACCAUGCCUUUUACAUGCAUCGUGCUCUGGUACUUUAAUUUCCAAUUCUGAUCCUAAACUACAUUCCUACAAAUUCUUUUAUCCAAUGAUCUUAAACCCUAAUUCUCCUCGAUCUUGUCGAUUUUUCAAUUCCCUCAGGACGCGAACAAUCUCAGAGACGCUCUCAAAUACUCGGCCCUGAUGCUGUCUGAGCUCCGAACCUCGAGGCUUUCGCCUCACAAAUACUACGAUCUCUGUAACGUUUCAUAUAUAUUUUUCACCCAAAUGCUCUUCUAAGCUUUGAUUCAAUUCGAUAUGGUGAUCUAAUUGUUGAUUUGGACGUUUGACGUUUCAUGGUUGAUUUCAUAGAUAUGCGAGCCUUCGAUGAAUUGAGGAAGCUGGAGAUGUUCUUCAAGGACGAGAGCAGACAUGGUGUUUCGAUUGUUGAUCUCUACGAACUUGUUCAGCAUGCUGGCAACAUAUUACCAAGAUUGUAAGUUGCCUAGAACUUCCAUUGAAUGACAUCCCAUCAUUGUGAGGAAAUGUUGUCCUUUCUCAACAAACUUAGAUAAGUGUUGGACGUGCCAGGUCUCUAACUUCUCAAAGUUAAAUUAUGCCUAUUCCCUUAAGACGAGCCUUGCCAUACACACAGGGUUGUGCUAUGUAUAUACAAGAGUUUCUUUCUCGUUUUUAAUUAUAUACGUUGAUCGUGCUUUUUAUAUAAUGACAUAUCUGCUCUCAUCCAAUCAUAUGCGUUUCAUUUCUGCCUGUAGCAAAAACGAAUCUCUUUAGUGUUUUUGUUCUUGGGUUCCUCCUUGUGCAAUGAGUUGAGUUAUUUGUUCCGGUUAUAUCAACUUUCAAUGUAUAUGAAGUUCCUGUUGCUUAUUUAACAGGUAUCUCCUAUGUACGGUAGGUUCUGUGUACAUUAAAUCUAAGGAAGCACCUGCCAAGGAUGUGCUUAAAGAUCUUGUGGAAAUGUGUCGUGCCAUUCAACAUCCAAUGCGUGGGCUCUUUCUAAGAAGCUAUCUUUCUCAAGUCAGUAGAGAUAAGUUACCUGAUAUUGGUUCUGAGUAUGAAGGGUAAGAUUGUUUUCUUGGCCAGAUUUUUUUUUUUUUUAAAUUUCUUGUGAAAGAAGUCUGUCAUUUCAGUCGUUGAUUUAUCUUUUCUUUCUCUCUCUCCUUUUUUCUUUAUCCAUUUCCUUGUUCAAUGUUUGUAUGCUUGAUACUACUGAUUUGAAAAUAUCUCAUACAUUGUCUGACAAAAAAGAGAAUGAUUUUUGAUUAUGGAAAUAUACGGAAUUUAUCACAUCUUUCUGUUCUUUCCCAAUUCUAGUUGGUUUUAGAUUGAGAAUAAUUAUAAGUCUUUGACUCCUGUAUGUACAUCAAAUCAACAGAAGAAGGGAAUAUGUUAUAUAGGCCAAAAAACAUUUGCUUUUGCUGGGAUGGAUUUCCUGUUGCUUGAUUUGAUUCAUAUUCCAAUAUCCUUGCAGAGAUGCUGACACUGUCAUGGAUGCUGUAGAUUUUGUGCUACAGAAUUUCACAGAGAUGAAUAAGCUUUGGGUUCGAAUGCAGUAUCAGGUUUGUUCAACAUCUAUGUAAUUUAUCUGCCCUAAUGUCUGAAUAUGCAUGGCACCAGAGUACUUGCAUGCCAUAGAGGUAAAAAUGAACCAUGAGGGCAUGAUUUUUGGCCAUGCAGGUGUUAUGGUGCUUGUGAAUCAUUCAUACUCUUUGGCGAUCUUGAGUUGAGGCCUUCUGUUGGGCUUUCUGGUCUGCAGGGACCUGGUCGGGUGAGAGAGAAGCAUGAAAAGGAAAGAAGUGAACUUCGUGAUCUUGUAAUAUCGAAAAUCUGAAUCUAUCAGCAGAUGAAACAGUGCACAACACAUUGUAAUAGAGAAAUUACACCUUUCUGAAUUGUCUUGAUAGGUUGGGAAAAAUCUACAUGUUCUCAGUCAGAUAGAAGGCGUGGAACUUGAAUUGUACAAAGACACUGUUCUUCCCAGAGUAUUAGAACAGGUUCUAUUUUCUAUUUCCCUUCUCAAUAAGAUUUUGUUUAGUUAAUUUUAAAUACUUUCCCUUAUGGCAGAGCCCUAUACUAACAACUUGUCUUUUUGUAAUAUUUCAAACUUUUAUCCAAAUUGGUGUGUACAGGUUAUCAACUGUAAAGAUGAGCUGGCCCAAUAUUAUUUGAUGGAUUGCAUAAUCCAGGUCUUUCCAGAUGAGUACCACUUGCAGACACUGGAGACAUUAUUGGCUGCAUUCCCCCAGCUUCAGGUGGGUACCAAUAUCGUUUUUCUCUCCGUUGUUUGAUUUUCACUUGAUUGUGUAUGUUUUCUUAUUUAUUUAAGUAUAUUGUUAUAUAUGCAUGUUUGAAGCCAUGUUUUCCCAUUAUGUAUAGUUGAAAUAGUAGCUCAAGCCACAAAAGCCAAAUUGGUUACUUGCUUUGAUAUCUGGUGGCUCAUAGCAGCCUGAUUGUGUCAUUUAUUUUAUAUUUGAGAGAAUUCGCCCAACCAAAGCAGUUUUUUGACUCAUUUUACCUCUGCAUUGUAUAUUUUCAAAUGCAGCCAACAGUUGAUAUCAAGACUGUGUUAUCUCAAUUAAUGGAGAGGUUAUCAAAUUAUGCUGCGUCAAGCACAGAUGUGAGUUAUCUCAAAAUCAUCUUCUGGGUCAUGCUUUUGGAUUUUGUUACCACUUUUGCAAUUUUUUAUGGCUUCUUCCAUUCCUGGGUGUUGCAGUUUUGAUGAUUGUGGAUUUUUCUUGUUCAAGGUAUUACCUGAAUUUCUUCAAGUGGAAGCCUUCUCUAAAUUAAGCAGUGCUAUUGGGAGGGUAAGCUGGCUAUUUCCAAUUUCAUUGAGAUUAAAAGAGAUGCAAUAGGGAUGGUGCAUUUACCCUCAUGUUCUCUGCAUUUAGGGAUGGUGCAUUUACCCACAUUUCAUAAAAUCUAGAUAAUCCAAUGUUUAUGGCUAUUCCACAUCACCUACAAUAAGUUUGUUUCCUUUUUCUAUAAACUAACGGCGUUACCUCUAUUUUCCUCUCAACUCUCACUCAUCUUCUCUUCAUGUCUUAUACACCCCAUUUCUUUUUCUUACAUUAUUUUCUCGUCAGUUCAAUAUGAAUGAUCAAUUUUGGCUACUAAUCCCUUCUUUUUUUUUCUUCUUUUUUUAAAUCAGUAUUCAUGGUGAUUUGUGAAAAAUCCUCUAAUAGCUAGAAUAUACAGCAUUGAUUUCUAUAAAUAAAUAAAAACCCUUAAUAUGAGAAAUUGAAAAAUCUUUGUAGAAAUUUGGCUUUAAAAGUCAAGAAGAAAAGCACAAAGUCAUUGCAAGUCGCAAAUCUGUUCCAAUUGAUAGCUGUCAAAUUCCAAAUACACUAGGGCAUGAAGUAGUUGAUGUAUAGUUAAUAGGAAAUUGUAUACUCACUAAUAUGUUGCCCCAUGAACAAACUUCUCUGAGAAAAACAGAUGUCCUCUUUAUUAGACAAGCCAUUUGCUGUUUCAUGUUAAUUAUGAAACAUGCAUAUCUUUAUUGUUAGUACCCUUUGUUUGAAGUCCAGAAGUGUGCUAUUUUAAUAAAUCAGCUAUACAAAUUUCAGGUGAUAGAAGCGCAGAUUGACAUGCCUAUUGUUGGAUCCAUAUCUCUUUACGUCUCUCUUCUUACAUUUACACUCCGUGUUCAUCCUGAUCGCCUUGAUUAUGUGGAUCAAGUACUGGUAAGGUCUGCAAAAAAAACUAAUUUUAGUUACUAUAAGCUUUCCGAAACUUCUGCAUGCCCUCUGAGGGAGAAUACCUGCCUAUCAACAUAGCCUGCGACAUGGAUGCCAUCUCCUUUGAGAUCUCGUUUAGAUAUGGAUUAUGUGGGCCAUGUUUGUAACCAAGUUAACUGGUGAUUGUUUUGUUAUAUAUAUAAUUUUUUUUUCAGGGAGCAUGUGUUAAGAAGCUAUCUGGAACAACCAAGCUUGAGGACAAUAGAGCCAUAAAACAGGUUGUUGCGCUGUUAAGUGCUCCCUUGGAAAAAUACGAUGACAUUGUCACAGCCCUCACACUUUCUAAUUAUCCUCGAGUUAUGGAUCAUCUUGAUAAUGGAACAAAUAAAGUCAUGGCAGUGGUCAUUAUUCAAAGCAUUAUGAAAAACAAUUCUUGUAUCUCCACCGCUGAUAAGGUAUGUUUCUUCUAUUUAUUCUAUUUUACAAAUUUUUCUUCUUAUAAUGUGGUAUAUUGCUUCUUGUAGGUGGAGGUGUUGUUUGAAUUAAUUAAAGGACUCAUCAAGGAUUUGGAUUGUACUUCUGCAGAUGAGGUGCAUUUCAAAACUGUUAUUGUAAUAGGAAUAUUUAGUUUAUUGUAUAAAGGUUUUAGCAUCUCUUAGUAACCUACUUUUUAAGUCGCUUGAUCCACAUGAUUUUUUCUUUUUAAUGUAAAUUUAAUUUCACCAAAAACACUCGAUGAUAUAUUUUUGCUUUUUUUGGUUGACCUUGGUCUUUUCUUGUGUUAUUUUCUACUGAUAGCUUGAUGAGGAGGAUUUUGGAGAGGAACAAAAUUCUGUUGCUCGCCUUAUACACAUGCUUUAUAAUGAUGAUCCAGAGGAAAUGUUAAAGGUAAGUCAUUGAUGUCAUUAAGGUUUUAUUGUUUCUCUUGAUGCUAAUGUUGGUUGAAAUUUCUGCAUCCAUCUAGAAGUUGUUUUCUGAAGCUAACUUACUCUUAGGUUGUAUUGAUGUUACUGGAAAAUUAUCCUUUUGGAAAUUAUGUAUGUCAGACUUGUGAGAGCAUGAUAAUCCUCAGUGCCCAUAUAUGACAGUCAUUUAGACCCAUUUGCAGGAGUCGCCUUCAUUUGCAUUUCUGAUGUGCAGAUUUGCGCAUGUUGCAUUUCUGACUGCCAUUUAGACCCAGUUGAAAGUACCGCCCUCAUUAGCAUUUCUGAUGUGCAGAUUUACGCAUGUUGCAUUUUUGUCGAGAUGCUUGUGUCUGUUAUUAUUUUUAUCUUUGUUACAGUUCUUAGGCAUGCAUAGGGACACACGGCGAUAGAUGAAUAAUAUCUCAAUAUUCAAAAUUCGAAGGGACUCAUUAAUUUCCUGUUUCUCAUGUCUGGAAUUAAGAGAGUAGGCAAUAAUGUUGAAGGGUUGUACAAAGUGUUGGUUGUGGCUUGCAGUUGGUUCCAUGUACGAAAUUCAUUGUUUUUUAUUUUAACUUCAGAGAAAUCUUUAAUUUUAUGAUACCUUCAGAUCUUAUGUACGGUCAAGAAGCACAUAAUGAGUGGAGGACCAAAGCGCCUACCUUUUACUGUUCCUCCUCUUAUAUUAUCUGCACUCAAGGUAUGCUAUGCCUCUUUGUGCUUCAAAUUGUGGCAUGUUUGCUGUUUCAUUUUGUCUAUGUAUGAACUUUUCAUUAUGAAGUAGUGGAGUGUAUUAAAAUCACCUCCCAAAAUGUUGGUUGUGGCUGCAGUUGGUUAGGCGGCUGCAAGGUCAGGAUGGAGAGGUAGUCGGAGAAGAGAUGCCUGCCACACCAAAGAAAAUUUUUCAGAUUUUAAAUCAGGUAAUUAGAUGAAUGCACUUGGUCGCUUCUUAGUUUGUUUGGCCAUAAUCCUUGCUGAAGACCUUUUAUUUUUAUGUGUGGUGAUCAUUGUGCUUCUACUUCAUACAUGUCUUCAUAUUUCUAUAAGGAUGCUUCUACUUUAUUUCAGACUAUUGAAGCUCUUUCCUCAGUUCCAUCUCCUGAACUGGCGUUAAGGUUGUACUUGGAAUGUGCUGAGGUAUGCAACAUCUGUGAGAAUGCAUGGUGUGCAGGCUUUGCAGUUUGGGUCAUGCAUGUUCUUAUAGCAUCAUCCUGUAAACCUUGAAAUUAGGGCUAUACCAUUGUGGCUGCAGACUGUCUGUUGGUUUUUGACCUCUUUGUUUUGAUUCAUGCACAAUCAGGCUGCUAAUGACUGUGAUCUUGAACCUGUUGCUUAUGAAUUCUUCACUCAGGCGUUUGUAUUAUAUGAAGAAGAAGUUGCGGUAAUUGUUUGUCAAUCAGUAUCUUGUAAUUUAUUGCAUAGAUCUGAAGGAAGUGGUUUCUAGUAGUAUUUCUAUAAAAAGACUGUCUAGUGUGGCAUUUUCUAGCCUUAAUAAUUCUACAUCAUAAUGUACCCUCAAUUUUAGGAUUCCAAAGCCCAGGUGACUGCAAUACAUCUCAUUAUUGGGACUCUCCAGAGGAUGAAUGUAUUUGGCAUUGAGAACAGGGAUACUUUAACACACAAGGCCACAGGGGUAAUAAUCCUUUCGUAUCAUUUGAUCAUUGGUUUUCAAUUUGUUGCUGUGAAACACCCUAAUUUAUGUUUGUUUCUUCGGUCAGUAUUCAGCAAAGCUUUUGAAGAAACCUGAUCAGUGCCGAGCGGUGUACGCAUGUUCACAUCUUUUUUGGGUUGAUGAUCAGGAUGGUGUUAAAGAUGGAGAAAGGUAAGUCUACCCAAAAUCAAUGUAUUGGAUUUAUGCAUGUUGAUGCAUUUUUGUCUGCAGUUGCACAAAUAUUCGCAUGUUGGGUUAUCUUUGUUAUGGAGCAAGUUUAUGGUGGUUAAAACCUGUAAUUACAACAAGUAGUGCUGUUUUUUUACAGGGUCUUGCUUUGUUUAAAGCGUGCCUUGAGAAUUGCAAAUGCUGCUCAACAGAUGGCCAGUGUAACUCGGGGUAGCAGUGGGCCAGUCACGCUCUUUGUUGAGAUACUGAACAAGUCAGUUGUUUUUUACUGUGCCAGAUUGAAGUGUAAUUUAAGUAGCAGUGGGCCAGUCACGCUCUUUCAUUCUUUAUUGCUACGGUGUUGUAUAAUUUAAGGUUGAUUCAUGAGUUUUGCAUCAGGUACCUCUACUUCUUUGAGAAAGGAAACCCCCAGAUUACAAGUGCUGCAAUCCAGGGAUUGGUGGAGUUAAUUAAAACUGAGAUGCAAAGCGACUCUACAAAUGUGAGUCCAGCCCCAGAUGCAUUUUUCAGCAGCACAUUGCGGUACAUACAGUUCCAGAAACAGAAAGGUGGGGUAAUGGGCGAGAAAUAUUCCCCUAUCAAGGUCUGACUCUGGUUUAAAGAGAUUGUCAUAUUGGAGGACAAUAAAGUUUGGGGUUGAGAGGAAGAACGAUGAGGAGAGCCGACGUGUGAGUAUAGUCUAUGAAAAAUGCCCCUGAAUCCUAAAUGAGGAGCAGCUAUGUGCAGUUUCUUUUCCUCUUUCCCUUUAGGCAGUUGGCGCUUGUCAACAGGACAAAAUCAUUCUAGCGUGCAAAAGCUCUACAUGAAGUUUGGGAUUGACAUUGCAGCGAAGCUUGUUAUUUAUUUAUUUAAUUUUCUUUUUGUGGGAAAUGAUAUUGUUAGAUUUCAAGUUGAUUGGAGAUCUGAAGGAUUAUUCUGUAUGCAACUCAGUUGAAAUUGUAUGAUGUAUAAUUAGUGUUGUUACAUUCAAAUUAUCGAAAACUUGGUAUUGGAUAAACAGGCGUAAGCGAGAAUAAUCCUCUCAUUUUCUUUCUGAACUGUUUCUUUAACUAUUAGUACAAGGAGUAAGUUCAUUCUCCAAUGGCUUUGAUUUUACCUUUCCAUUUUUAUAAAUUGAUUUUAUGUGUCUUUUUUUUUUUAUUGAAAAGAUUUUAUGCGUCUUUGCUUUAUAGAAUUUUCUAAGAAACAGAUGUCCCAAACUGACACAGCUGAGGAAUUUUCUUAUAAAUAAUGUAAGAGGAAGGAUUAAGUAUAACUCUUGCUUUCCGGAAAUGCUAUAUGGAACUAGUACUUUUUGAAAAAUGCUAAGUUUAUCACGUUUUUAUAUCAUAUUUUAUACCACCUUUCUAAUAGGGUUAUAUUAAAGAAGAUGAUAUAUAAUGUGGUAUAAAAAUGUAGUAAGCCUAGCAUUGUCAAUUAUAUCUUUGAAAAACAAAAAGUUGGGUUUGUUUUUUGUGUGAAUAUUUAUGCACUUAACAUUUAAAACUACUGGGCCUUCGAUAAUUCAAUACCAUCCAUGAUUAGAUUGAGCUUACUGAGUUUAUCGCAUUAUAUUUUUCAGUUUUGAUAUGGGCUGAUCAUCUGCCCAUGUUCUUAAAUUACUUGUCAUUUUGAAUUCUGCAGAAAUGGGUACAUAGCCUGCAUUGCUGUUGGUAGAUAUAAUUUUUAAAACAUUGUACAUUUAUGAUGAUCGUUGGUCAAGGAAAGCUGUUGAUGACAUCAUUCCAAAAGGUUUACAAUGAAAAGUUUUGCAGCAGCCCCUGCUCAGGUCAUGGAACGACAAGUGAGGGUGCAAUCACAUGUUGGCUGCUACAGACUUCUCCACUGGUCAUAGGAUAUAAUUGGGCUUGCUGACGUGCUGCCUUUUUUUUUUCUUUUUUUUUUAUAAAAACAUAUUCGAAUACACCAAUUUUUUCUUUUUUAAAAAAUAAAAUUAAUUUUUUAAUUUAAUAUUUGUUAUUAAUAAAUAUCUUAGCCUUAUUUAAUUACUUUAAUUACUAACUAUAUUUCAAUUAUUAUUUGUUUAGUGAAUAAUUAGUAUUCAAAUAUUUUAAUUAAUUUCAUAAAUUAGUCAAUACAUAUAGUAAUUAAUUAUUUUAAAUUAUUUUGUGGACUUUUAAAAAAAAAAUUGGUGCAAAUUAGUUUGUUUAGUUUAAUAUUUGUAAUUAAGCAAUAUCUUAACCUUAUUUAAAUACUUUAAUUAGUAAUUAGUUUUACAUUAUUAUUUCUUUGUUAAUUAGUUCUUAAAUAUUUUAAUUAAUUUCAUAAAUUACUUAAUAAAUAGUAUUUAAUUUUAAAAAAAAUUCUUUUAUGGACUUGAAAACUAUUUUUAAAAUAGUUUCUAUUUUUUAAAAAUCCUAGAAAAUUCUUUUAGGUACCUAAAAAUAUUAUAAAAACUAUUUUAGUAUUCCAAAAAUUUGAUUUUAGCUUCGAAACCCCAAAUUCAAGUCUCAAACCAAAAACUCCAACUUCCAAAUUAAUUCCAAAACCGUUCUCAAGUCUUGAACCAUAAUCAUAAGUAUACUCUAUGGCACUUAUAACUCGAUUACACUUGAAUACUCACGUAACUCUACCUAGUAUUUUAGGUUAGGCUUAAAUGUUAAAAUGGUCCUUGUGUUUUAUCUCAUAGGCCAAUUUAGUCCAUGUGUUAUUAAUUUGGCCAAUUUGGUCCUUGUGUUUGUAUAUGUUAGUCAAUGUGGUCCAUUCCCUUCAAAAUAUAAAAUAUAAAAUAUUUAAAAUUAAUUAAAAUAAAAACGGUAAUUGAUUAUAAAAUUUUAAAUUCAAUCUGAAAAUGGAAUAUUUUUUUUUUAAAUUUCACCUUCCCCAAUUUCGCGCACACACCUCAACCACCUCCCAAAUCCAGCCACCCUCACCACCACCACUCCAACCCCAAACCAUAGCCACCCUCACCACCAUUCCAACCCCACCUAACCACAACAACUCUCUCUCUCUCUCUCUCUCUCUCUCUCUCUUGGCUUCCUCUCUGACAAAUCACGAAGAUCUUCAUAGCCGGUCACCGUAACCUUGAUGGCUCUACCGCUAAUUGAUCAUCCUCGCUGCAGCAAAAGUCAACGAUAUUCAGGCCAAUGGAUCGAAGAGGAGAGAGAGAUGAAGGGUAGAGUAUGAGAAAAUCUUAAACAUAAGAGAGAAGAAAAAUUGCAGCAAGAAAAGAGUAGGCAUCAAUUCAACUAAGAACCCUUUUUUUUCCUACAGGAAUCGAGAUCAUUUGAGGUUGAGGUUGUGUGGCUUUUAAUCAUUUUAGCAUUAUUAUUAUUUGAGUUUAAAUCUUUAGAAUUAAUUACAGAUUAAAUAUUUUUAUUUAUUUAUAGGUUUUAACAUAAUUUUGACAGAAAGGAUCAAAUUUGUUAACAUAUACAAACACAUGGACUAAAUUGGCCAAAUUAAUAACACAGAGACUAAAUUGGCCAAUAAGGUAAAACAUAGGGACCAUUUCGACAUUUAAGCCUUUAGGUUACUCCCAGUGCUAUAUCGCUGGUCGCAAGUCUGCAACUUUUGGAUUUUGUUGAAUGAGAAUGGGACGAGCUCAAAACGCGUUAACGGACUGUGGCCGUUGACCACCCAAAAAAAAAAAAAAAAAAACAACCGUGUGGCCAUUCUCCUGGUCCGUGUAGGACUAGGAACCCAUGUUUCCGUAAAAGCCCAUCCAAUACAAUGAGCCCAAAAGAAAUAGAGUUCAAAGUAAAAUUGAAUUAGGUCGAGGGCAUUAUUGGUAUAAAAAAUAUGCCGGUCUAUAUAAAGCCACGCUGUUAUUGAAGAUGCACUCGAGGAUCUAUUGCCGUCAAAAGACCUCCAAGCUAGAGAACCGAAAAACUCUGUGCUAGGGUUUUGCGAAAGUUCCGAUCUAGUUAAGCGAUUAGGUUGUGGGGAAAUUAUUUUUUGUUAAUUGAAAGAUGGCUCGGGCCUUGAAGUACACCUUUAGCGAUUAUGCGAGGAACGCAGUGAGUAGAGAGGCCUUGCUCGAACCGACUAAGGUUUGUUGAGCAAUUUGGUUGUGCUUUUUCUGGGCCUCUCCCCCUAUCUCUUUCUGCGACAUGUAAUCACUGUAAUAUAUGCCUGACCUUGUAUUCUAGCAUUGUCUGUCAGUUUUUUUUAAACGGUGGGUCUUGUGGGUAUUCAAGAAUGGCCUAUUUUUAUGAUUCUUCCUUAUCAUGUAGGGAUGGGGUUGAUGGGUUUCCUGUGGAAACUAAUUUGAAAUUAUUUUUGGUGAUAGAUCCCGAUUUGUUCUUGGAAAAUAUAGACAAAUCUGAGUUUUUCAAGGGAAAAAUUGUAGGUUAUUCUAAGUUUUUUUGGGGCAAAUCUUGAACAAAGUUUGAGUUUUUCUUCGUGUAUAUUAAUAUAUCUUGACUCCCUUUUUUUGUUUUUUGGUAAUUGAGAUAGAUCGUGAGUUUCUUUUUGCCAUGUACUGACAAAAGAACUGUCUUUUUUUUCUGGAAAGAAUUGUACGUUUGAACAUGUAUGUUACAUAAUUACUAAUGCGAAUCUUAGGGUGUUUUAAUUUUUUUCCAGAUUAAUAUCACAACCCAAAACUACAUUAUAUGUCCAUUCGUUGAUUGUAGUUGGGGUAAAGUUUGAUCUUGGAAGGGUCAAGAACUCAUAAGUUGAUUUAGAAUUGUGGUUUUCAUUGACAAGAAAUGAGAAUUAGGUUAUGGACCUUGUAAUGGGUUAUCACCGUUUCUAUCUUGAUUAGAAGCUGAAUUUGUGGGGUUAACUGUGGUGUCAUCAGGUUGGUGUAAAUUUUGAUUUAUCUAAGUAGUUUACAGGUGUAGUUUUUACCAAUUUCUUUCAGACUCCGAGAGUUCAGGACUUCAUAGAAUUUGAAGUUAAACUUUGGCUGUUGUAAUUUGUAAGUAAGUGGCUUACCACUUAGUCGUCAUCUGGUUAAGUAUCUCGCUACUGUCUAGUAAAACUGUACUAACCUAAAAUAUAGUAAUGGAUCAAUUGUUGGUUGUUUCUUUGAUCUUAUUUUCUGUGUCCCAACUCUUUUGUACUAACCUAAAAUUUAGUAAUGGAUCAAAUGUUGGUUGUUUCUUUGAUCUUAUUUUCUGUGUCCCAACUCUUCCUAGUAAUGAGUCCGUGUAACAUCAGCAGUUUCUCUACUUCUGUGCCUUAGUCAUGUUUUACUGGUCUGCUCUACCAAUCUUAUUGAAUUUAUUCUGGUGCUUCAAAAGCUCCAGAGAGAGAUGGAGAAAAAUGGCAAGAGUCAGAGGAAGAAAGAGAGAAGGGAGAUAAGGGGACAAGGGCGUAAAGAGAAGGAUGAGUCCAUACCUGGUUAUGUUACUCUUCACAACGUGAAAAGCCUUGAUGACAAAAAGUGUUUCCAGCAAAAGAAGGGUAAAAAAGGGGAAGCAAAGGGAUGGUGUCCGCAAAAAAUUGAACAUGAAGUUGAUCAACUGGAGAGAAGUGACAUUACGAACGAACAUGGGCUGCCAACCUGUAUUGAGAACAAUUCCUACUUGUCUGAUGGAACCCAAAGCAGCAAGAAAAGCAAGAACAAUUCCUACUUGUCUGAUGGAACCCAAAGCAGCAAGAAAAGCAAGCCUUUGAUCGUGCGCAUUAAAUUGCUUAAGCACAGCGA
rnacentral:lncRNA from 1 species